UACAUUGAGGUGUAAGAUGCACAUUAGUUUUUGAUACUAAAAGUGUUAGUUUAAUUCUUUCCUAUGUAA
rnacentral:tRNA from 1 species